AGCUCCAAUAGCGUAUAUUAAAGUUGUUGCGGUUAAAAAGCUCGUAGUUGGAUCUACGAUCAAGUCAUGUGGUCGCUCUGCCUGAGUGUACUGCACUGACUGAUCCAUAUAUCCAGUAUUCGAUUGAUGCUCUUCAUUGAGUGUCUCUAGUUGCUGGAACUUUUACCUUGAAAAAAUUAGAGUGUUCAAAGCAGGCUUAGGCCGUUGGAUACAUUAGCAUGGAAUAAUGAGAUAGGGCCACGGCGGUCUAUUUUGUUGGUUUGCACGUUGUGGUAAUGAUUAACAGGAACGGUUGGGGGUAUUCGUAUUCAAUUGUCAGAGGUGAAAUUCUUGGAUUUGUGGAAGACGAACUACUGCGAAAGCAUUUACCAAGGAUGUUUUCAUUAAUCAAGAACGAAAG
rnacentral:rRNA from 1 species